rnacentral:rRNA from 1 species
UACGUAGGGGGCAAGCGUUGUUCGGAUUUACUGGGCGUAAAGGGCGCGCAGGCGGCUCAUUUUGUCAGGCGUGAAAGCCCCGGGCUUAACCUGGGAACUGCGUUUGAUACGGAUGGGCUAGAGUUCGGGAGAGGAGAGUGGAAUUCCCAGUGUAGAGGUGAAAUUCGUAGAUAUUGGGAAGAACACCGGUGGCGAAGGCGGCUCUCUGAACCGAUACUGACGCUGAGGCGCGAAAGCGUGGGGAGCAAACAGG